UAAUACGGAGUGUGCAAGCGUUAAUCGGAAUUACUGGGCGUAAAGCGCACGCAGGCGGUUUGUUAAGUCAGAUGUGAAAUCCCCGAGCUUAACUUGGGAACUGCAUUUGAAACUGGCAAGCUAGAGUCUUGUAGAGGGGGGUAGAAUUCCAGGUGUAGCGGUGAAAUGCGUAGAGAUCUGGAGGAAUACCGGUGGCGAAGGCGGCCCCCUGGACAAAGACUGACGCUCAGGUGCGAAAGCGUGGGGAGCAAACAGGAUUAGAUACCCUGGUAGUCCACGCUGUAAACGAUGUCGACUUGGAGGUUGUGCCCUUGAGGCGUGGCUUCCGGAGCUAACGCGUUAAGUCGACCGCCUGGUGAGUACGGCCGCAAGGUUAAA
rnacentral:rRNA from 1 species